rnacentral:rRNA from 1 species
CAGCCGCCGCGGUAAUACGUAGGUGGCAAGCGUUGUCCGGAAUUAUUGGGCGUAAAGCGCGCGCAGGCGGUCCUUUAAGUCUGAUGUGAAAGCCCCCGGCUCAACCGGGGAGGGUCAUUGGAAACUGGGGGACUUGAGUGCAGGAGAGGGAAGUGGAAUUCCACGUGUAGCGGUGAAAUGCGUAGAGAUGUGGAGGAACACCAGUGGCGAAGGCGGCUUCCUGGCCUGUAACUGACGCUGAGGCGCGAAAGCGUGGGGAGCAACCAGGAUUAGAUCCCCUGGUAGUCCACGCCGUAAACGAUGAGUGCUAAGUGUUAGGGGGUUUCCGCCCCUUAGUGCUGCAGCUAACGCAUUAAGCACUCCGCCUGGGGAGUACGGCCGCAAGGCUGAAACUUAAAGGAAUUGGCGGG